rnacentral:rRNA from 1 species
GACGAACGCUGGCGGCGUGCUUAACACAUGCAAGUCGAACGGAAAGGCCCUGCUUUUGUGGGGUGCUCGAGUGGCGAACGGGUGAGUAACACGUGAGUAACCUGCCCUUGACUUUGGGAUAACUUCAGGAAACUGGGGCUAAUACCGGAUAGGAGCUCCUGCUGCAUGGUGGGGGUUGGAAAGUUUCGGCGGUUGGGGAUGGACUCGCGGCUUAUCAGCUUGUUGGUGGGGUAGUGGCUUACCAAGGCUUUGACGGGUAGCCGGCCUGAGAGGGUGACCGGCCACAUUGGGACUGAGAUACGGCCCAGACACCUACGGGGGGCAGCAGUGGGGAAUAUUGCACAAUGGGCGGAAGCCUGAUGCAGCAACGCCGCGUGCGGGAUGACGGCCUUCGGGUUGUAAACCGCUUUCGCCUGUGACGAAGCGUGAGUGACGGUAAUGGGUAAAGAAGCACCGGCUAACUACGUG